CCCAGAGAAGAAGUGAUUGAAAAACCAGAUAGCAUAAGGGCUCCAGCUUUUCUCUGUUCCCAACUACAUAAUGAUAUGGUUGCAGAAUGGAAAUCAACAUUUGAUUUAUGCAAGAAAUAAGGAAACCAAAUACUCUCAAUAUCCCUAUACUUCACUUUUUAGAGGGCACCGAACAAACAAAAUGGAGAAGGGAAAAAAAAUCAUGAUGGUAGAUAAAAAGGCACCCAACCAAUAUACCUCCAUGAACUUCCGAAUGAAUUUUGGGCAUGGUGAUCUCCUUCAGAGGGAGCAAGUAGUUACAAAAAUUAGGAACAAAACCAGAUGGCUAAAAAUUCAGGCUCGUAGAUGGAUAGCUAGAUUUUCACAUCUAGAGUAGAAAGGACAAUGCAGGAACACUCACACACUCACACACACACACAUAGAGAGAGAGAGAGAAAGAACAGAGGAAGAGUCAUUGAGCGCACACAAGAGGGCUGGACAGCAGAUAACCUCCACAAUCUACAACAGUAAAGGUAUCUUGCCGUUGAAAGGAUAAGGGCUGUAAUAUGAGACGUUGCACCGUGUUUUUUGUACAUAAUCUCAUCCCUAAUCCGUGAAAAUCCAUAUUAUUUUUCCAUCCAUGUGGUACUUGAUGGAAAAAUGGGACUCCAACAUGACCAUUUGAUAUGCACCUCAUCGAUAAAAGGGACUAUGCAAGGUUCACUGUUCCGAAAUUAGUUACUAUGGCUUAUUGAUAUGAUACAGUAUAUGCA
rnacentral:lncRNA from 1 species